ACGGGAGGCAGCAGUGGGGAAUAUUGCACAAUGGGGGAAACCCUGAUGCAGCGACGCCGCGUGAGUGAAGAAGUAUUUCGGUAUGUAAAGCUCUAUCAGCAGGGAAGAAAAUGACGGUACCUGACUAAGAAGCCCCGGCUAACUACGUGCCAGCAGCCGCGGUAAUACGUAGGGGGCAAGCGUUAUCCGGAUUUACUGGGUGUAAAGGGAGCGUAGACGGCGAUGCAAGUCUGAUGUGAAAGCCCGGGGCUCAACCCCGGCACUGCAUUGGAAACUGUGUUGCUAGAGUGCAGGAGAGGUAAGUGGAAUUCCUAGUGUAGCGGUGAAAUGCGUAGAUAUUAGGAGGAACACCAGUGGCGAAGGCGGCUUGCUGGACGACAACUGACGCUGAGGCGCGAAAGCGUGGGGAGCAAACAGGAUUAGAUACCCUGGUA
rnacentral:rRNA from 1 species